rnacentral:rRNA from 1 species
UACGUAGGCAGCGAGCGUUGUUCGGAAUUACUGGGCGUAAAGAGUGUGUAGGCGGCGCUCUAAGUUCGGUGUGAAAUCUCCUGGCUCAACUGGGAGGGUGCGCCGGAAACUGGAGUGCUUGAGCGUGGGAGAGGAAAGCGGAAUUCCUGGUGUAGCGGUGAAAUGCGUAGAUAUCAGGAGGAACACCUGUGGUGUAGACAGCUUACUGGACCAUUUCUGACGCUGAGACACGAAAGCGUGGGUAGCAAACAGG